CACGUAGGCACCAAGCGUUAUCCGGAUUUAUUGGGCGUAAAGAGCUCGUAGGCGGUUCGGUAAGUCGGGUGUGAAAACUCUGGGCUCAACCCAGAGAGGCCACCCGAUACUGCUGUGACUAGAGUGCAGAAAGGGCAAUCGGAAUUCUUGGUGUAGCGGUGAAAUGCGUAGAUAUCAAGAGGAACACCUGAGGUGAAGACGGGUUGCUGGGCCAACACUGACGCUGAGGCGCGAAAGCCAGGGGAGCAAACGGG
rnacentral:rRNA from 1 species